GAAUCUUGGACAAUGGGGGCAACCCUGAUCCAGCGAUGCCGCGUGGGUGAAGAAGGCCUUCGGGUUGUAAAGCCCUUUAGGCUGGGAAGAAGUGAGUGGGACGAAUAAUCCUGCGCAUUGACGGUACCAGCAGAAUAAGCACCGGCCAACCCUGUGCCAGCAGCCGCGGUAAUACAGAGGGUGCAAGCGUUAAUCGGAUUUCCUGGGCGUAAAGGGCGCGUAGGCGGUUGAGUGAGUGUGAUGUGAAAGCCCCGGGCUUAACCUGGGAAGUGCAUCGCAAACGACUUGACUGGAGUAGGUGAGAGGGUGGCGGAAUUUCCGGUGUAGCGGUGAAAUGCGUAGAGAUCGGAAGGAACGUCAAUGGCGAAGGCAGCCACCUGGCACCAUACUGACGCUGAGGCGCGAGAGCGUGGGGAGCGAACAGG
rnacentral:rRNA from 1 species